rnacentral:lncRNA from 1 species
UUUCAUCAUGGUAAUAGCGGGUAGGUCUGAUCAAACUUCUAUGUUGUAAGAAAAUUAGAUUCUGAUUAAUUUGAGAUUGAAUGCGUGAGGUGGGGAAUAUUGAAUUUUUGAGGAGGGAUUGUUUUUUAUUUGUGCUUGUUAAGGGUAAAAAUUAUUUUGGCAGUGGUUAGCUUCAUAGUUUGUUGCUAGAAAAAUUAAUAUCGAAUUAAGUUUGAUUCUUAAAACAAGAAAAAGUAGAGUAUGAGAAUUUGAUUCUUACGUUUUAAUAAUAUAUGUGUUAUUACAUUGGUCAUUAAGUUUGGAGGCUAAUUUCUUCUUAUGAAAUAUUAUAUCUUAAUAUUUUGUACUAUUAUGUUAUAUGUGCACAUUAAACUCUUAUUAGUGAGGUGAGUCAUCAUGCUUGAAAUUUUUUGAACUUGGUUUCUCUAUAGAAUUGUAUUGAUUUCCUUUAUAAUCCCCACAUGUUUAGAUCCAAUUUGCCUCAUGAUCUUUUAUUUUAUUACCAUACUGUGUAAGAAGACUUACUUUAAAUUACCUUUCAACUUGGUACUGUGGAUUCUCUUUGUUUUUAUGCUAAAAGCUUUUGUGCUCUACUCGUAGGUGUUUUCAAGUUGGCGUUGUUCCUUGAUACAGCUUGAAGGAUGGUUUUUCUCUCUCAGAUUUUGUCUAUGCUUUCCUGAGAAUGUAGUGAUUUCAUUUCCAUCAAGAUGCAAGUAUACCUAAAAAAAAUUAAGAUUUUAUAAUUUUAAAUAUUAAUUAGUUCUCAUAUAUGUGUGUGUGCGAGCGUGUGUGUCUAUCAUCAGUGCAAUAGCAAUUCCUUCAUUGUGGCUCUGAGUCGUUGUUGAUCUGCUUGAUGUUUUUGAACUUUGUGAAUCCAUGAUUUCAAUUUGAUUGUAAUAUUUAUAACUCUGAAAUUGAAUGUAGAGUUGAGCCAUGAAUAAUAGACAUAAUUUGUGUGUACCUUGGGAGGCAAAUGAAGCAUAUGCGGGGUGUGAGAGAUGGUUUGGAAAUGUAACAUAUUUAUAAACAUUGAUCUACCAAUAUAACCUUUAGUUACCAUAUCUUUUUUUAGAAAAAAAAAAAAUCGGGUUGAUU